rnacentral:lncRNA from 1 species
GGAGAAGCUGUCACCUUUCAAAGAGGUAAAGGAACCCCCUGCUCUUGAUGCAGGACCUUGUGCUGCUUCCCAGGCUCCUGGAAAUGUGUUUUGUGUCCUGCAGCUUCUGCCAGGGCUGGUUAUUGAUAAGGAGGUUCCUACAAAGACAAAUUCUUCUGUUCACUGCAGGGCAAAGAGGCCAGUGAACAACAUAUCAGAGAACUCUGUGGGGAAAUGAUAAAUGAGCAAAUUGCACUGUUGGCUGCUAACCUGAGGAAGCCCUUGGCUCCUGGAAUGACGGGACGGCCUGGCCCAGCUGGGCCCCCAGGCCCUCCUGGGAGCACGGGGAGUGUUGGGCAUCCUGGUCCUCGUGGGCCCCCUGGCUACAGAGGGCCAACAGGAGAGCUUGGUGAUCCUGGACCCAGAGGCAAGUUCAGAGUGAAAUAAUCUGCUUCUCUUUUACGCCCACUGAAAUAAACUUGUACUGAAUUCAGCACUGGGGAGUAGAGAUCAGCCUUGCUGGAGCUCUGGGUGGAGUUCUGCACCUUGAGGGGUGCCAUGUAAGCAAAGAUCCCUGCAGCACCCAGGAUUUGUAGCUCCUCUUGGUGGCUCCAGCUGCAGAGCACAGCUGACAGUGGAAUUGUGUUUGUGAUUGAAGGUGACCCUGGUGAAAAGGGAGACAAAGGACCUGUGGGCCAAGGCAUCGAUGGGCCUGAUGGUGACCAAGGGCUGCAGGGACCACCUGGUGUGCCUGGAAUUACUAAAAACGGCCGUGAUGGUGCUCAGGGUGAACCCGGGCUGCCAGGGGAUCCUGGGACUCCUGGCACUGUUGGGGCUCAGGGAACUCCAGGAAUAUGUGACACGUCGGCUUGCAUGGGAGCUGUCGCAGCAUCAACUUCCAAAAAAUCAUAAACCAACAGUACAAGAAGUGAAGAAGUGACUGAAUAUUUAAAUAAACAGUGCAUUGUAAGAAAACA